rnacentral:rRNA from 1 species
GACGAACGCUGGCGGCGUGCUUAACACAUGCAAGUCGAACGGAAAGGCCCUGCUUUUGUGGGGUGCUCGAGUGGCGAACGGGUGAGUAACACGUGAGUAACCUGCCCUUGACUUUGGGAUAACUUCAGGAAACUGGGGCUAAUACCGGAUAGGAGCUCCUGCUGCAUGGUGGGGGUUGGAAAGUUUCGGCGGUUGGGGAUGGACUCGCGGCUUAUCAGCUUGUUGGUGGGGUAGUGGCUUACCAAGGCUUUGACGGGUAGCCGGCCUGAGAGGGUGACCGGCCACAUUGGGACUGAGAUACGGCCCAGACUCCUACGGGAGGCAGCAGUGGGGAAUAUUGCACAUUGGGCGGAAGCCUGAUGCAGCAACGCCGCGUGCGGGAUGACGGCCUUCGGGUUGUAAACCGCUUUCGCCUGUGACGAAGCGUGAGUGACGGGAAUGGGUAAAGAAGCACCGGCUAACUACGU